CCGCGCUGCUGGCAUUAGCUGCCUGUCGCGUUAAUCUGUACAUUCAUAUGGAUACAAAUAAACAGACAUACAUACUGGCAGCAGACAGAGAUUUUAGAAAGUGCAAAUGAACAUACAUACAUACACAUGACGCGAUCGGCAACAUCUUAAGUGAUAAAAGUCUUCUUUUAACCAUUUUCACCAACUUUUUAAGUUAAAGUUAUAUGCAAAGAUACACAUAGAUACA